CACGCAUGACACACUGCAUAUCAAUAAGCGGAGGAAAAGAAACUAACAAGGAUUCCCUUAGUAACGGCGAGUGAAGCGGGAAGAGCUCAAAUUUGAAAUCUUCAAGGUUCUACCUUGACGAAUUGUAGUUUAUAGAAGUGUUUUCUGUUAGUAGAGUGGCAAAAGUUCUUUGGAAUAGGACAUCAUAGAGGGUGAGAAUCCCGUAUUUGGUCAUUCUUUCUAGCUUUGUGAUACACUUUCAACGAGUCGGAUUGUUUGGGAAUGCAGUCCAAAAUGGGUGGUAAAUUUCAUCUAAAGCUAAAUAUUGGCGAGAGACCGAUAGCGAACAAGUACCGUGAGGGAAAGAUGAAAAGAACUUUGAAAAGAGAGUUAAACAGUACGUGAAAUUGUCAAAAGGGAAGCGUUUGACACCAGUGUUGUUUUCUCGAAAAUCAAUUAAAAAUGAUGGGAUUUUGUGUUGUAUUGACUUUAUCAGCUUUCUGCACUUUUUUCUUAUCUUUUUUAAUGCACUUUUCGUUUAACAAGUCAACAUCAAUUUCUUUUGCUGUAAAAGAGUCAUUGGAAGGUGGCUUUUCUUUCGGAGAAAGUGUUUAUAGCCUUUGGACUUCUGCAAUCGGAGAGAUUGAGGUCUGCAGCGUAGAUCCUUCGGGGUUAGAUACAGUUUGUGCUAAGCUAUAGCCUUUUCAUAGACAACUUGUUGACUAUGAUCAGUCAUGUAAUCUUACUCGCUAGAUGCUAUUUUACCUACGCUUAGGAUGUUGAUCUACAGAGCGAGAGU
rnacentral:rRNA from 1 species